rnacentral:lncRNA from 1 species
AUGGCAGUGACAGUGACAGUGGCGAUGGCAGCGGCGGUGACGGCGGAGCCUCAUCUGUCAUUCCGGCUGCGGCCGCGUCCCUCCGCCAUCUGUCACCACCCGGUGCCAGCGCUGGCACCGCCGCCACCGCCGCUGUCACCCCUUCGCUGCCGGAGCCGCCGCCGCCACCGCGGGGUGCCACGGCCUUGGGGACACCGGAGAGGACCCCGGGAGCGCCUGGGGGGAUGUCCCGGGCCCCCCGUGUCCCCCGCGGGUGGCACAGCCGUGUCCCCUCCCCGCGCUGGUGCCACCUCCGCCACCCCGCUGGGGACACGGGGGACACGGGAGGACAAAACCCCCGCCCCGCCGGGCACCGGGAGGCGACAGCGGGGACAGGACAGGGCGGCAGAGGUGACCCGAGCCCCCGUGUUCCCCCGGUGUCCCCCCCGGUGUCCCCCCCGGUGUCCCCCACCGGCUGCUCGGGGACCCCCGCGCCAGCUGUGCCGCCGUCACCGGCUGCGGCCGCAGAUGGAGCGGGGCGGGGGCGGCGGGACGGGGCCCGCGCGGGUCGCGACACGCGGGGACAGCGCCUCGGCAUGUCGCGACACCGCAGCGUGUCACCUGCCACCGCCGGGGACGCGGCGGAGGGGACACGGGUGUCCCGGGGCAUGGCCCCCCCCUCCCCCGGAGGAAAUCGGGGCUGGGGGCGGCGGGACCGGAGAAAUGCGGGAAGGGCAGAACCCCCAAAACGGGGCAAAACCGCCCCGAAACGGGGCAAAACCGCCCCGAAACGGGGCCCCUCCGGUUGACCCGGAUCAGGGGCCCCGGUUCCACCGGCGGAGGGGGAAAUCGGGACCCCCGAGAGCCGCGGAGGGCGGGGAGGGCCCCAGCCCAUCGGACACCCCCCCCCCCGUCCGGGGGAGGACCGGGGAAGCUUUUGGGGCGAUUUCGGGGGGUUUUGGCUCAGCUCGGCGGCAGAUUUUCGGCGGCUGCCGAGGCCUGGAAGCCAUUAGGGCCGCCCCCCCUCCGCGGGCCCCGGCGGCUCCCGCCAGCGCGGGCGGGCGGGGGGGCCCCGGUGGCCCGGGGGGCCCCGCGAGGAGCGGCCGCGCCACCGGCGGUAACCGCGGGCCCCGCUCCCGUUAG